rnacentral:misc_RNA from 1 species
CCAACACAACUCGCAAGCGCGCUUGUUGAAAAACUGGUGCUGCCUGCGGAUAUUGAGCAAUCUCAUUAACACGAGAUGCUUGAAAUACAGCGAGUGGCAUGAGUUGCUGACUGAUAGCGAACUCUGCCUCUGGUGACGAGGAUAACUUCACAUUCAUUUGUGAACCCUUCCAUCGUGACUAUUGAGGCAAAGAAAGCAGUCAAUCACACCUCGAUGUGUCACGGCCCUCUCGGAUAGGUCUCGUGCAAGCGAAGCUUGGUCUGAGAACCAUUUUGAA